rnacentral:lncRNA from 1 species
GGACCUUUGGGAUAGCAUUGAAAAUGUAAACGAGGAAAAUACCUAAUUAAAAAAAAAGUCAAAUGCAGUCUUUGCAGCUAAUGGCAGCAUUGACUGGCUUUUGUCUUUGGCCAGUUCUUGGUCAGACAGGCAAAGGGGGAUGUUAACAUAAAAAUUCGGAUUUCUCUGUCAAAGGCAUUCCUGCCAAAGAAAUUCUUCUUGGGAAGUAAGAAUGCUGUCCAUAAAAAGAUGUGAAUGUAGUUAUUCUGGUCUGGAUUCUCAGGACCAGGUGCGGCUUUGAGCUGUGAGGCUGGAGACUGACCAUGACUGGCUUUCGGUCUUACUGUCUUUUGAGCCAUGUCUCUUGACCGGAUUGUAGAAUCACCACUUAACUAGUAUUUUAAAGUCAAAGAGGUUCUCACAAGAUUGGCUUCCUGGCUGCUUCUAAUCAACCAGAUGUUCUGCCAGCAGCACUAGACGCCCUCACCACAGGCAGCUGGAGCUGAGGAGGUGGGUACCCUGUGGGUGUGCUGUGUGCAGGUCAAAGACUCUCUUUACAUAACCAGAUUCACUCAUAUACACAGCUGUACAGCUGCUGAAGGAACCACUGGAAUAUCCUCUGUUGAGUAUACAUAUCAAUCCUCAUUUCUUUUCUUUGAAUCUUUUUUUUUUUUUACAGAAAAUACAUUUUUUCAUAUAAUAUAUUCUGACUACUGUUUCCCCUCCCCACUUUCCCAUCCACCCAAAGCCACACCCUUCUUUCUCUUUUUUAGAAUACAAGAUACAAACAGGCAUUUAAAAUAAUAAUGAUAAUAAUAAUAAAUUAAGAUAAGAUAAAAUAAAGACAAACUAAAAUAGGAAAAAACAAACAGACAAACAGAAAAAAAAAAAAAGAGCCAAAGGCACAAGAAACACAUAAAGACACAGAGACACAUAUUUGCACACAGAAUACCCAUAAAAGUAAAAUUGGAAGCUAUAAUAUAUAAGCAAAAGGGAGGGAAAGCCCAAACAAAGCAUCAUAAGACAAAAAAAAAAAAAAAAAACAAGACAAGACAAAAACACCUUGUAAACAUAUUAAAUUCAUGUUGGCCGUCUGCUGCUGGGCAUGGGGUCUGCUCUUCAGGGUGGUUUGUGCAUCCAGCGAAAUCCCAUUAGAGAACACUAAUCAAUUCUCAACCCAAGGGAGCCAGCAGAGGCCCAGAGAAGAAACAUGAUAGAGUCAGGACAGGGGCCCAGGUCUGUUUGUGUCUAGAUCUCCUGUGUCCUGACUCCUCAUUGGAUUUCAACUUCAGACUCACUCUUUUUAUUUUUAUUUUUUUAAGGAUGUAUUUUUUCAACAGAAUGUAUACAGUUGCCCAUAUCAGGGAUUGAUUUCUGUGUCACCAAAGAAGUCUAAUAAAAGAAAUAGUUGACUCUUAAGGACUAAUACUCAUCGGAAACUUUGUGGAGGAGACACGGAGACGGUUCAGUCUGUAAAGCGUUUGUGUCACACUUUGAGGACCAGUUUUAGAUGUUCCACACUCACAUAAAAACAAACAAAAAAAAAAAAC